GGGUAACCUGCCUGUAAGACUGGGAUAACUCCGGGAAACCGGAGCUAAUACCGGAUAGUUCCUUGAACCGCAUGGUUCAAGGAUGAAAGACGGUUUCGGCUGUCACUUACAGAUGGACCCGCGGCGCAUUAGCUAGUUGGUGAGGUAACGGCUCACCAAGGCGACGAUGCGUAGCCGACCUGAGAGGGUGAUCGGCCACACUGGGACUGAGACACGGCCCAGACUCCUACGGGAGGCAGCAGUAGGGAAUCUUCCGCAAUGGACGAAAGUCUGACGGAGCAACGCCGCGUGAGUGAUGAAGGUUUUCGGAUCGUAAAGCUCUGUUGUUAGGGAAGAACAAGUGCAANAGNAACUGCUUGCACCUUGACGGUACCUAACCAGAAAGCCACGGCUAACUACGUGCCAGCAGCCGCGGUAAUACGUAGGUGGCAAGCGUUGUCCGGAAUUAUUGGGCGUAAAGGGCUCGCAGGCGGUUUCUUAAGUCUGAUGUGAAAGCCCCCGGCUCAACCGGGGAGGGUCAUUGGAAACUGGGAANCNNNNGNGCNGAAGAGGAGAGUGGAAUUCCACGUGUAGCGGUGAAAUGCGUAGAGAUGUGGAGGAACACCAGUGGCGAAGGCGACUCUCUGGUCUGUAACUGACGCUGAGGAGCGAAAGCGUGGGGAGCGAACAGGAUUAGAUACCCUGGUAGUCCACGCCGUAAACGAUGAGUGCUAAGUGUUAGGGGGUUUCCGCCCCUUAGUGCUGCAGCUAACGCAUUAAGCACUCCGCCUGGGGAGUACGGUCGCAAGACUGAAACUCAAAGGAAUUGACGGGGGCCCGCACAAGCGGUGGAGCNNGNGGUNNNNUUCGAAGCAACGCGAAGAACCUUACCAGGUCUUGACAUCCUCUGACAACCCUAGAGAUAGGGCUUUCCCUUCGGGGACAGAGUGACAGGUGGUGCAUGGUUGUCGUCAGCUCGUGUCGUGAGAUGUUGGGUUAAGUCCCGCAACGAGCGCAACCCUUGAUCUUAGUUGCCAGCAUUCAGUUGGGCACUCUAAGGUGACUGCCGGUGACAAACCGGAGGAAGGUGGGGAUGACGUCAAAUCAUCAUGCCCCUUAUGACCUGGGCUACACACGUGCUACAAUGGACAGAACAAAGGGCUGCGAGACCGCAAGGUUUAGCCAAUCCCACAAAUCUGUUCUCAGUUCGGAUCGCAGUCUGCAACUCGACUGCGUGAAGCUGGAAUCGCUAGUAAUCGCGGAUCAGCAUGCCGCGGUGAAUACGUUCCCGGGCCUUGUACACACCGCCCGUCACACCACGAGAGUUUGCAACACCCGAAGUCGGUGAGGUAACCUUUAUGGAGCCAGCCGCCGAAGGUGG
rnacentral:rRNA from 1 species